UACGAAGGGGGCUAGCGUUGCUCGGAAUCACUGGGCGUAAAGGGUGCGUAGGCGGGUCUUUAAGUCAGGGGGGAAAUCCUGGAGCUCAACUCCAGAACUGCCUUUGAUACUGAGGAUCUUGAGUUCGGGAGAGGUGAGUGGAACUGCGAGUGUAGAGGUGAAAUGCGCAGAUAUCGUCAAGAACACCUAUAGCGAAGGCAGCUUACUAAGCUGUAACUGACGCUGAGGCACGAAAGUGUGGGGAUCAAACAGG
rnacentral:rRNA from 1 species